GGGGGGGGGGGGGGGGGGGGGGGGGGGGGGGGGGGGGGGGGGGGGGGCGCGGCGGGUGGGGGGGGCGCGAGGGGGGAACGGGUGGGGGACAGGUGGGUAACCUGCCCUUGACUUUGGGAUGACUUCAGGAAACGGGGGCUAAUGCCGGAUAGGAGCUCCUGGUGCAUGGGGGGGGUGGGAAAGUUUCGGCGGUUGGGGAUGGGCUCGCGGCUUGUCAGCUUGUUGGUGGGGUAGUGGCUUACCAAGGCUUUGACGGGUCGCCGGCCUGAGGGGGUGACCUGCCACAUUGGGACUGAGAUACGGCCCAGACUCCUACGGGAGGCAGCAGUGGGGAAUAUUGCACAAUGGGCGGAAGCCUGAUGCAGCAACGCCGCGUGCGGGAUGACGGCCUUCGGGUUGUAAACCGCUUUCGCCUGUGACGAAGCGUGAGUGACGGUAAUGGGUAAAGAAGCACCGGCUAACUACGUG
rnacentral:rRNA from 1 species